UUUGGAAGUAAAAGUCGUAACAAGGUUUCGGUAGGGUGAACCUGCGGAAGGAUCAUUACCGAGGUGCGGGCCCCUCGGGGCCCAACCUCCCACCCGUGUUGCCCGAACCCUAUGUUGCCUCGGCGGGCCCCGCGCCCGCCGACGGCCCCCCUGAACGCUGUCUGAAGUUGCAGUCUGAGACCUAUAACGAAAUUAGUUAAAACUUUCAACAACGGAUCUCUUGGUUCCGGCAUCGAUGAAGAACGCAGCGAAAUGCGAUAACUAAUGUGAAUUGCAGAAUUCAGUGAAUCAUCGAGUCUUUGAACGCACAUUGCGCCCUCUGGUAUUCCGGAGGGCAUGCCUGUCCGAGCGUCAUUGCUGCCCUCAAGCCCGGCUUGUGUGUUGGGCCCCGUCCCCCCCGCCGGGGGGACGGGCCCGAAAGGCAGCGGCGGCACCGCGUCCGGUCCUCGAGCGUAUGGGGCUUCGUCACCCGCUCUAGUAGGCCCGGCCGGCGCCAGCCGACCCCCAACCUUUAAUUAUCUCAGGUGACCUCGAUCAGUGAGAUACAA
rnacentral:rRNA from 1 species